UACGGGGGGGGCAAGCGUUGUUCGGAAUUACUGGGCGUAAAGGGCGCGUAGGCGGCCUUCUAAGUCGAACGUGAAAUCCCCGGGCUCAACCCGGGAACUGCGUCCGAUACUGGAAGGCUUGAAUCCGGGAGAGGGAUGCGGAAUUCCAGGUGUAGCGGUGAAAUGCGUAGAUAUCUGGAGGAACACCGGUGGCGGAGGCGGCAUCCUGGACCGGCACUGACGCUGAGGCGCGAAAGCCAGGGGAGCAAACGGG
rnacentral:rRNA from 1 species